CUUUCUUUGCUGGCGACCGGCGCACGGGUGAGUAACACGUAUCCAACCUGCCCUUUACUCGGGGAUAGCCUUUCGAAAGAAAGAUUAAUACCCGAUAGCAUAAUGAUUCCGCAUGGUUUCAUUAUUAAAGGAUUCCGGUAAAGGAUGGGGAUGCGUUCCAUUAGGUUGUUGGUGAGGUAACGGCUCACCAAGCCUUCGAUGGAUAGGGGUUCUGAGAGGAGGGUCCCCCACAUUGGAACUGAGACACGGUCCAA
rnacentral:rRNA from 1 species